AUGCUUCAGAAAAACUCGUAUCCAAACAGGGCCGAGAUUACGAGAACCCACGCCCCAGCCGCCAUCGCCGUCGCCGAUCUAUUCGCUACGUCGACGGAAACCACGCCCUAUCCGCCAUCGCAGAUCCCUUUGCUGUCGCCGAGGUCCUGGAGGAGCCGCCGCCACCUUCAUUACGGACCUCCAGGUCGCCGUCGGGACACCGCGGCAAAGGUUCGCCACGGCCGCCGUCGAGUUCCGAGAGGGGCAUGA
rnacentral:rRNA from 1 species